GACGAACGCUGGCGGCGUGCUUAACACAUGCAAGUCGAACGGUAAGGCUCCAGCUUGCUGGGGUACACGAGUGGCGAACGGGUGAGUAACACGUGGGUGACCUGCCCUGCACUUCGGGAUAAGCCUGGGAAACUGGGUCUAAUACCGGAUAGGACCGCACCGUGAGGGUGUGGUGGAAAGUUUUUUCGGUGUGGGAUGGGCUCGCGGCAUAUCAGCUUGUUGGUGGGGUAAUGGCCUACCAAGGCGGCGACGGGUAGCCGGCCUGAGAGGGUGGACGGCCACAUUGGGACUGAGACACGGCCCAGACUCCUACGGGAGGCAGCAGUGGGGAAUAGUGCACAAUGGGCGGAAGCCUUAUGCAGCGACUCCGCGUGGGGGAUGACGGCCUUCGGGUUGUAAACUCCUUUCACCAUCGACGAAGGGUUUCUGACGGUAGAUGGAGAAGAAGCACCGGCUAACUACGUG
rnacentral:rRNA from 1 species